UACGGAGGGUGCAAACGUUGCUCGGAAUCAUUGGGCGUAAAGCGCACGUAGGCGGCUCGUUAAGUCGGAUGUGAAAGCCCUGGGCUCAACCCAGGAAGUGCAUACGGAACUGGCGAGCUUGAGUAUGGAAGAGGGUAGCGGAAUUCCCGGUGUAGAGGUGAAAUUCGUAGAUAUCGGGAGGAACACCAGUGGCGAAGGCGGCGACCUGGGCCAAUACUGACGCUGAGGUGCGAAAGCGUGGGUAGCAAACAGG
rnacentral:rRNA from 1 species